rnacentral:rRNA from 1 species
CCUACGGGACGCAGCAGUGGGGAAUAUUGCACAAUGGGGGAAACCCUGAUGCAGCGACGCCGCGUGAGUGAAGAAGUAUUUCGGUAUGUAAAGAUCUAUCAGCAGGAACGAGACAAGACGGUACCCGACUAAGAAGCACCGGCUAACUACGUGCCAGCAGCCGCGGUAAUACGUAGGGGGCAAGCGUUAUCCGGAAUCACUGGGUGUAAAGGGAGCGUAGACGGAUGGGGAAGUCUGAAGGGAAAGGCGGGGGCCCAACCACUGGACU